rfam:Hordeum vulgare subsp. vulgare, WGS project CAJW01000000 data, contig: morex_contig_274857
CAGGUAUCCCUCCGUCCCGAAUUACUUGUCUUAGAAUUGUUUAGAUAGAAAUGUAUCUAGACAUGCUGUAGUGUUAGAUACAUCCGUACCUAGAUAAAUCUAAGACAAAUAAUUUAAGACGGAGGUAAUAUUAU